UUUAAGUCUCAAUUCGCUUCACAGAGGCUUCAUCUUAUUUUAACCAGCUGACUUUGAAGUUUUACAUGUAAAACUAAUCCAGUAGUGCCACAUAAUAUCAAAUGAGACGUGGAAUGGCAAAAUAUUACAGUACUUUUAAGUUAAUUUGAACAUUUCAGACCAACGAUUGGGGUUUGUUUGGGAGACAAAUCCGCAGUGGAUGAGAAGUUGCGUUUGAAAAACGGCCUAGUACCUAGACUACGUGUAAGCGAACGGAUAGGUUUUUAACGCCAAAACAAACGGGCAGCAAUCGAUCAGCCGGUUGCUUAAGCGUAAGAAUGGUGUGUCAUCAUUUCUUAAAAUAGAUGCUUGGGCUGUUUGUUCAGAUACCGAAAUGUCGUUUUCAGGUGGAUUUCCUGAAACGAUGAACAUAAGUGACAUGACUGAGGUUAAUCAGUAUUGAUCCAGGUCUUAUGUAGUAUGGCAGCUCACUUCAGAACGACCGAUCAGCACAAAAAUCCCGGUUCCAAACGAAUCUGUCAAGAGCGGUUUUCUUGCAACGGGUCUAAAGCGGAGUUUGAUUGUUCUGACUGCGGAACAAGGCAGUGCUCCGAAUGCGAGAAACGGCUGCACGCAAGCAAUCCUCGGUUUGUUGACCAUUCUCGCGCUAGGAUUCAGCAGCCGGUAUUGCCAGCAUCUGUUCAGAAAUGUGGAAUGUGGUGUAACCCCAUCAAUCCUGCCGAGUACUCGUGUAUUGAAUGCAAAGGAGUUUUAUGCGGGGAGUGCAAUCGGGAUUUCCACAGGGGUAAACACUCUAAACAUCACCGCCGUCCCAUUGUCGUCGCGAUCAAAACAAACUCGGAUGUUUCUGUUGAGGUUGAAAGAGUGAGAGAUACAGCCACCUCAAACAUAUUUUCCCUGAGUGACAGCCAUUCAGAACAAAGUCGGAUAUUCUCUGGAACUUUGCCAGAGCAUGAAACACCGGUAAACUCAUUUACUGAGGAGUUUCAAAGUGCAAUUGAAGUUUGCUUGGAUGACAUUUUUCCAGUGUUGCAGAAACUAGAAAGCCCCCCAGAGUUGAAUAUUAGACUGGCAGAAGGACAGUCCAAGGAAUUCAAAACUUUUGCCAUGGAUGAGUUGUCUAGCAAUGAGUUCCGUAGUCUGGAGGAAGGUCUAGAGAGAGUAAUGAAAGAGAAACCCAAAGCAGUUGAGCUAGACGUUGCCCGCUUUGGGAUGUCUGAAGAACCAAGUGCUCUUUCUUUUAAUUCAGGACAUUUCACCCCCAGUGCUGAAACUAGUGUUCUGCAUUCUCAUGAAUCGAUUAAACCAGCCCCCAAGUCUAGAUCAACUAAACAGCAUGCAAUAGCUUCCCAGCCUGGAAAAGAUACUGUCAAUGCAAAGCAAGAAUCUAAGUCAUACUCAAGCUCCACUACUCAACAGCCACUUCACUCUGUAGGUGACGAGUGUGACCAAAGGAAGAGUGACUCCAGCAUGUCCCGUUCCAAGCCAAGUACCCAACAGAAGGCUCCCAUCUUGUCCAAUCCAAGUCGCGAGCCAAACUUGGUUAGGCCAGUUGCAUCAGUGAUGGGUACUUCGCAGAACUCCAUCAGCUCCAGUGAGGGAGACGGAGAGACAGAGUCUCCCAGAGGCAGUGUGAGUCGGAGGCAGAUCGGCACUCAAGGAACAGGGAAGGACGAUGCAUUCUCUUCAAUACAGCUAAAGACCAAGGAGCCCGUCUUCAGAUAUAAGCCAGGGUUCCUACUGGUUGAUGAAAAUGAAAAUCUUCAGGUUGAAACAGCAACCAGGUUUGCUGAGCAUCUGAGUUGUCCCCCUGACACGCCAGUCAAGGUUGUAUCCAUCUUCGGCAAUACUGGGGAUGGCAAGUCCCACUCCCUCAAUCACACCUUCUUCUGUGGCCAAGACGUCUUUCGCACGUCCCCCGCCCAGAACUCCUGCACCAUUGGCAUCUGGGUGGCCUACGACGAGGCAACCAGUGUCAUUGUCAUUGACACGGAGGGUCUGCAGGGUGUCUCCACCAACGAGAACCAGCGCACCCGGCUGCUCCUGAAAGUGCUGGCCAUCUCGGACGUGGUUGUGUAUCGCACGCGGGCCGACCGCCUCCACAGGGAUCUGUUCCAGUUUCUCGGGGAUGCCUCCAAAGCGUACAGUCGUCACUUCAACCGGGAGUUGAAGGCUGCGUCAGAGAGGGGUCACCUGAGCGGAUCACUCACCAGUCUUGGGCCAGCUGUUAUUGUCUUCCAGGAGACAACUCAUACUCUACCAUUAGGAUCUGACCAACCUGCACCAGGCGACAGCCUUGGUGUCUCAGCUGAUGCCAUCCUGAGAGAACGCUUCAAGGAAUAUGGCCACAGCAUCGAUGCCUUCAGCUGCGUUCAGUACAUCGGAACUCAGACCAUCACACCCCCAACCGAUUUCAGAAGUCUGCGUAGGGCCAUACUGGCUCAUGUGCGAAAUGAUAGUGUCAGGUCCCCCAGACCUCCAACAGUGAUCUACAAUGCACUCAAGGUCUUGAAUGAUAAAUUCAGCGGUGAAAUCGACGCCACUGUGCCUUCCACCUUCCCUGAUGAGUAUUUCACCUGUUCAGAUCGCUGUCUUUCCUGCGAUGCGCGCUGCGGUCGCACCAUGAACCACAGCAAGGACAACCUGCCACAUCAGUCAGAGUCACGCUGUCGAUACCAACACCAAUUUGAUAACCAGGUGUUCAUUUGUAAGAAUUGCUAUGAGCGUGGCGAGGAAGUGUUAGUGGUCCCCAAGACCUCCUCCUCAGGAGAUACAUCAUGGUUAGGUCUGGUCAAAUAUGCCUGGUCUGGAUACGUUUUGGAGUGUCCCAACUGUGGGAUCAUUUACCGCAGUCGACAGCACUGGUAUGGGAACCUUGAUCCCGAGCAGACUGCAGUGAGAACAGAGAUCAGACAUGUGUGGCCAGGAGUAAGUAGAAGUCCCUGUGCUGCUAUUCCAACUGAAUGUUCGCUGACUUGUAUUAUUUUUGAACCUUGCCUUUUGGCAGUUAAUGGAGUGCAAACAUUUGUGGUAACCCCUGAUGACAAAGACAGACAUACGGCGCUGUGUUUCAGUGUAUGACAUAGGACAAAGCAUUGUGAUUCCCUCACGUGUUGUUCCUAGAUGUCACAGCUGAAUUAGAUGGACUAAAUAUUUUUCUUUUUGUUGAGUUUCUUCUCUUUUAGGGCGAUGGUUGCUGUUGGUCACAGUAAUCCUAGUUUAACCCAAGUUUUGUCUUUGUUUAGCUCUCUGGUCUAGUAGAGGAUGGCAUGGGCAUGCAUGAAUGCAUCCUUAGUAUUUAUUGAAUGUAGAUGUGUGUAAGGUUGGAUGGGAGUGGGCGGGGAUGAGAUUUGCCACAUGUUGCGGUAGAAGGAACACGGUGUUUUGAGUUCCUGGUGACGAAGCCAUUUUGGUUAGCUUGAGCCAUCCCUUGGCUAUCAGCACGGAUGAUUUCGGCUCUGUGAAGUCUUGGGCGUGGCUCGGACAAGCAUAAGUCAGCAUGACAACAGGAGUCAUGGUCUUUGUAUGUUGAUGUAUAUGGUCUGCUAAGCACUGAUGUCCUUGGGACCCUGCUUGUGAGGCCUGAGAGUAGUUCCGCAUUUACUGUUCCACAUUCUGAGUGUAGCCUGUUCCACAGCCUGCAGUCCUUCCUGGAGCUUGAUGGUUCUCUGCAGCGUCAUCCUGUCCUGUGACAGUCUUUGCUUCUGUGACUUAGACGACGGAUGUUGGUGGAAUCUGCCACAGCUAUGACAAAGCCAUCCUAAUCUCCCAUAAACCCUUCAUUUAUUAUUGUAUUAAGUUUAAGUAUUAAGUUUAAUUGAUAGAAUGCUGAAUUAGAGGAUUAAGCCGUUGAUCAGAAUUGUAGACUGAUUUUUGAAAUAAGGAAAAGUUGAACAUAUUGCUGACAACUGUAUAUGAUGUGAAUUAAUGGAUUUGAACUACUGAUAUUGAUUGAAUUGAGCGUCUUCCAUUGAUUGGAGGAGUUGAACAGUAUAAAAUAGAAACUGGUCCGUUUUAACUUUUCAGAUUUGUAAUUACCGGAAGUGAUUCACUAAUAUUUAAAUACUCACAAGUCAGGUACCGUGCAUUGAACUAUUUGAGGCAUUUUUUAUGUGACUCGGAAUAUUCCCAAAGUAGAGAUUUCCCUGCAGUUCCAAAGUGUGUAUAGUUACUUUGAAUAAAAUUAGGUGUAUAUUUUGUACAUAUUUCCAAUCGGUGUGAUACCGUGUUGUUUUUGUAAGAGUCCAGGAAAACUGGUGACACUAAAAUACAUUAAAGGGUAGAUGCAAUUUAUUUUGUUUUUAAUACAAACCUUCAAAAAUGCAUCAUUGUGUCUCGGUUAACUUUACUUUCAACUUUUUAAAGCUUAUUUUGUCACGCUUUUGGUUUCAUGCUAAGGAGUAUGUCCAUAUUCAUGAGCAAAACUAUGAUGUGUUACAUUGGUUUUUACACAAAAAAAGUCAUACAUGUUAGCUGAUUUUGCUGGACCAAUUUUGGUUUUUUUGCUGAUUCAUUGUUGUUUAUGUGCAUAGUAAUAGGUGAGCACCAAUGCUUUUCUCAAAAAUGUUUUCAGUAAGUAAAUUCUGGGUUCACAAUAUUAAAAGAGAAAGCUAUGCAAUGAGCCAUGGCUACCCUGGAUGACAUCACAGCAACAGUGCCCUCAGUUGUCCAGAAAGCAUUGAUAAUUUAAGUGUUUAAAAAAGUG
rnacentral:misc_RNA from 1 species